GAAACACGGACCAAGGAGUCUAGCAUGUGCGCGAGUCAUUGGGACUCUAGUAAACCUAAAGGCGCAAUGAAAGUAAAGGUCCGCCUCGCGCGGACCGAGGGAGGAUGGGCCCGUUUACGGGCGGGCCCCGCACUCCCGGGGCGUCUCGUUCUCAUCGCGAGAAGAGGCGCACCCAGAGCGUACACGCUGGGACCCGAAAGAUGGUGAACUAUGCCUGGUCAGGACGAAGUCAGGGGAAACCCUGAUGGAGGUCCGUAGCGAUUCUGACGUGCAAAUCGAUCGUCGGAACUGGGUAUAGGGGCGAAAGACUAAUCGAACCUUCUAGUAGCUGG
rnacentral:rRNA from 1 species